CCUGCGGAGGGAUCAUUACCGAGUUUACAACUCCCAAACCCCUGUGAACAUACCUAUAAUUUGCCUCGGCGGACUCAACGACGGUGCUCCGAGAAAUCGGGCGCCGCUCGCUGCCAGAGGAACCCCAAACUCUAUGUAUUCUUGUGGAUCUUCUGAGUAAAACAAAACAAAUAAAUCAAAACUUUCAACAACGGAUCUCUUGGUUCUGGCAUCGAUGAAGAACGCAGCGAAAUGCGAUAAGUAAUGUGAAUUGCAGAAUUCAGUGAAUCAUCGAAUCUUUGAACGCACAUUGCGCCCGCCAGUAUUCUGGCGGGCAUGCCUGUUCGAGCGUCAUUUCAACCCUCAAGCCCCCGGGCUUGGUGUUGGGGAUCGGCGAUAGUCGCCGUCCCCCAAAUCUAGUGGCGGUCUCGCUGUAGCCUCCAUUGCGUAGUAGCUAACACCUCGCAACUGGAACGCGGCGCGGCCAAGCCGUUAAACCCCCAACUUCUGAAUGUUGACCUCGGAUCAGGUAGGAAUACCCGCUGAACUUAA
rnacentral:rRNA from 1 species